rnacentral:rRNA from 1 species
AGAACGAACGCUGGCGGCAGGCCUAAAACAUGCAAGUCGAACGCUCUAGCAAUAGAGAGUGGCGCACGGGUGCGUAACAUGUGGGAAUAUGCCUUUUGGUACGGAACAACUUUUGGAAACGAAAGCUAAUACCGUAUGGUCCCUUCGGGGUAAAGAUUUAUCGCCAAAAGAGUAGCCCGCACUGGAUUAGCUAGUUGGUAAGGUAAUGGCUUACCAAGGCGACGAUCCAUAGCUGGUCUGAGAGGACGAUCAGCCACACUGGGACUGAGACACGGCCCAGACUCCUACGGGAGGCAGCAGUGGGGAAUAUUGCGCAAUGGGCGAAAGCCUGACGCAGCGACGCCGCGUGGGGGAUGAAGGCCUUCGGGUUGUAAACCCCUUUCAGCAGGACGAAGCGAAAGUGACGGUACUGCAGAAGAAGCGCCGGCUAACUACGUGCCAGCAGCCGC